GACAGAGGAUGCAAGCGUUAUCCGGAAUGAUUGGGCGUAAAGCGUCUGUAGGUGGCUUUUUAAGUCUGCCGUCAAAUCCCAGGGCUUAACCCUGGACAGGCGGUGGAAACUACCAAGCUGGAGUACGGUAGGGGCAGGGGGAAUUUCCGGUGGAGCGGUGAAAUGCGUAGAGAUCGGAAAGAACACCAACGGCGAAAGCGGUCUGCUGGGCCGACACUGACACUGAGAGACGAAAGCUAGGGGAGCGAAUGGG
rnacentral:rRNA from 1 species